CCUACGGGAGGCAGCAGUGGGGAAUAUUGCACAAUGGGGGAAACCCUGAUGCAGCAACGCCGCGUGAGUGAAGAAGUAUUUCGGUAUGUAAAGCUCUAUCAGCAGGGAAGAAGAUGACGGUACCUGAUUAAGAAGCCCCGGCUAACUACGUGCCAGCAGCCGCGGUAAUACGUAGGGGGCAAGCGUUAUCCGGAUUUAUUGGGUUUAAAGGGUGCGUAGGCGGGACGGUAAGUCGGCGGUAAAAAUGCGGAGCUCAACUCCGUCGAGCCGUUGAAACUGCCGUUCUUGAGUGAGCGAGAAGUAUG
rnacentral:rRNA from 1 species